rnacentral:rRNA from 1 species
GACGAACCGUGCGAACGUUGUUCGGAAUCACUGGGCUUAAAGGGCGCGUAGGCGGGUUCGCAAGUCUGUGGGGAAAGCCUCCAGCUUAACUGGAGAAGUGCCAUGGAUACUGCGCAUCUUGAGGAGGGUAGGGGCGUCUGGAACGGUCGGUGGAGCGGUGAAAUGCGUUGAUAUCGACCGGAACUCCGGUGGCGAAGGCGAGGCGCUGGACCCUUUCUGACGCUGAGGCGCGAAAGCCAGGGGAGCAAACGGG